UACAGAGGGUGCAAACGUUGUUCGGAAUUACUGGGCGUAAAGCGCGUGUAGGCGGCUCUGCAAGUCGGAUGUGAAAUCCCACGGCUCAACCAUGGAAGUGCAUUCGAAACUGCAGGGCUAGAGUUCUGGAGAGGAAGGUGGAAUGCUUGGUGUAGAGGUGAAAUUCGUAGAUAUCAAGCGGAACACCGGUGGCGAAGGCGGCCUUCUGGACAGUAACUGACGCUGAGACGCGAAAGCGUGGGGAGCGAACGGG
rnacentral:rRNA from 1 species